UUGUAAAGCGCUAAAUAUGUAUCAGUAUUCCUAAGAAUAUCUUGCAGGGCACGCGGGACGCUUUCCGAAUUUUCAUAAACUUGCAUGAGUUCUUCAAUAAGUAGCAAUCUAACUAUAGCAUACGCUGGGCAGUCAAAUAUUAUAUGUUCUGCAGUCUGAUCUGAUUCUGUAUGGCAGAAGCUGCAUGUUGCAGAUGCUACUAUUUUCAUCCUGGAAAGAUGAGCGUUCAGUCGAUAAUGGCCAAAUCUAAGUCUGCACAUUAUUGUAUAAAAUUUUCUGCAAUGAUAUCUUUCGUUGCGAGAAAACCAAGGAAUAUUUAAUUCUGAAUUUAUUGAUGCAUACCAACGACCCUUUCCUGCCUCUAAAACAGCAUUCCAUUGCAUUUUCCAUUCUUCUCUUAACUGUUGCUUUAAAAUUGAGUACAAAUCUGUAUGUGGUAUUGCAACACCAGUUAUUCUGUCAGUGUCAGCUGUAACUAUACUUUUAGCUAAUUGAUCUGCACUUUCAUUUCCUUGAACACCAAUAUGUGACGGAGUCCAUAAAAAUUUUACUUCCAAAUUAUUUUCUUUCAAUUUCCACCACGAACUUUUGAUUUCAUAUAUGAUGAAAGACGUUUUGGCAUCCAAAGUUCUUGUCUUCAGUGCCUUCAAGACACUCAUGCUAUCAGAGAUCAGUAACCAUUUAUUAGAUACAUGUGGGUUUUCUUCUAUAUAUUUAAGAGCGUUUAAUACAGCAUAACAUUCUGCAGUGUAUAUGCUUGCUGAUGCAGAAAUGGAAAGGCCACGUCCAAUUUUCAGAUGAGAUAUUUAAACCUAAGUAAAAUAGGAGGAGUAAGACAUUCAGCCUGUAAAGACACGAUAGGAGUUGUUCUCAUAGAACCGGAAUGCAUAAAGACCUCAACUCUGAGGCAAGUACAUCAAGAUUGACAUUAUUAAAUGCACCAACAAUGUCAAAGAAUAUACUAAUUAAUACUUCAUUAUUAUUCAUUGAUUUAAAGAUGUCUAAAUGAAGAAAUGCAAUACUUUCUCUAGAUGACUUACUGCGUCUGAAUCCAAACUGAUUUGACGGAAAAUGAUAGCUACCUAGAGAGUCAUCAUCACAUACUUGCCACUCACAAGACAGUGCCAGUGAAGAUGAAACAAAUGUUAAGUCUAAUGCAUUCUGCCUCCAUCUAUGAGAUCCUACUGUAGUCAUCUGACCAUCAUUCAAGAGUACAAGAUUGUUGUCAUCUAUACUUGAAAGAACGUCCCUACCUCGUGAAUCCAAUUCAGUACAUCCCCAUAUUGUAUGAUGGGCGUUGAAAUCACCAGCAACAAAGACUGGCUGUGGCAAGCUUUGAAUUAAAUUAUCUAGUUUUGAUUUGCUAUAAUUAAUUGUUGAAUUUGGGGGACAAUAAACACUAAGUAAGGUUAAUAAUGUAUUAUUGUAUUGUAUUUGUACAGCUAUAUUUUGUAAUGAGUCAUCAGAGAAUGUAUUGAUAAUGCGAAAUCCAAUUUUGUUAUGAAGAAGUAUUGCUACUCCAUUAUGAUCAUUACCUGAAUCUAAACGUACAAUAUUAUAACCCUUAACUCUAAAAUUUUGCCUAGGUUUAAGCCAAGUUUCACAUAGAAGAGCAACAUCUAUAUUGUUCUCGUAUAAAAAUUGUGUAAAUUGAAAGCAAUUUUUAAUUAAACUCUGUGCAUUCCAUUGUAAAAUGUUAAAAUGAUC